GAUUACUUGAGUGCAAAAGAGGACAGUGGAACUCCAUGUGUAGCGGUGAAAUGCGUAGAUAUAUGGAAGAACACCAGUGGCGAAGGCGGCUUGCUGGACUGUAACUGACGCUGAGGCUCGAAAGUAUGGGUAGCAAACAGGAUUAGAUACCCUGGUAGUCCAUGCCGUAAACGAUGAAUGCUAAGUGUUGGAAGGUUUCCGCCCUUCAGUGCUGCAGCUAACGCAUUAAGCAUUCCGCCUGGGGAGUACGACCGCAAGGCUGAAACUCAAAGGAAUUGACGGGGACCCGCACAAGCGGUGGAGCAUGUGUUUUUAAUUCGA
rnacentral:rRNA from 1 species